rnacentral:miRNA from 1 species
CAGCAGACACAUUCCAGCCAAUCAGCAGCAGACCCUCCCUCCCCCUCCCACCUCCUGGACAGCAUCCAUUUUACAUUCAUUGUGAAGCUGCAUUCUUGUGAGCUGUCCAGGAGGUGGGAGGGUCUGGGAGGGAGGGUCUGCUGCUGAUUGGCUGGAAUGUGUCUGCUG